rnacentral:piRNA from 1 species
CAUGACGAAUAGAAAGGGGGAAGAGAAA